rnacentral:lncRNA from 1 species
UCGUGCCUCCUUCCCCCAUAAGUUUCGACUGAAUAAGACAAAAUUCAAAAAUUCUAUAUACAAGCCCAUUCACUGAGAGGAGAAUUAACCUACGUACAUUCCAGGUAAACAAUGAGGAGGAACCGAACAGACAGGCAAAAGAAAGAAGACGGUACUCCUAGACAAAGGAAAAAAAACCUAGAAAAAAAGAAUUGGUAAUUACCUCUUUCUUUUU